GAUUUUGUUUGCGACGACUGGAGAUCUCGAGCAGAGUCAGCGGAACCAGACGGGAGCUUCCCGCCUCUGCCCCGCCCCCGCCGAGACUCCCAAGAGAAGAGGACCAACGGGACGCCGCUGGAUCCACAGGAUUAGUGAGCGAGGCCUGAAGCUACAAAUCCUACCGGCAGGACUGAAACUAGUAGUACUGCUUAUUAUUUUCCCAGAUUGCUAACCCCUAACUGAGGAAGUACUACCCUGAAAAAAGGCAAAUUCAUCCUAAGGGAAUCCUGUGUAAAAUGAAUUCAUUCCAAAUGAUAAGGAUAGUGGGAGGAAUGAUAACCCUAGUACUUGUUACUGAUGGUAUGGGAGCACCCCCACAAAAUGAGGGGUUCAAAUCUAAAUCCUAAAACAAAUACAACUCUAUGGCAAGACCUAUCACACAGAAAAGGUUCAGAAACGCUUGCUCUGGGGACUAGAGGGAUAUUUCGGCUGGGGAAUUGCGUCAGCUAAAACCCAAGAGCAAUCAGUGCAACUGACUGAUCAAGUAGAAAUACUGGCUAACACCACAGCGAACAGCCUAACUCUCCUAAAUGAGCAUGGAGAUGCGACCGCCCGUAUGACACUACAAUUGAAAACCACUCUGAACCUCAUGCUGUUGAAGGCGGGAGGAGUCUGUGCCUUCUUGAACAUCUCCGCUAAAGACUGUUGCAUGCACAUUCCCAAUGUCUCCCAGCCACUCUCCCUGCAAAUUACGUGAAUCAGGCAAGUUGCAGCUGACUCCUCAAGCAUUCGGGAUGGAAUAUACUCAUCAUGGCUAAAUCAGCUAUUCAGACUGAUGGGCUUCUGACUUUUGGGGUGGCUUGUAAGCCUACUCCAACCAUUGCUCACUGUUUUGAUAACCAUUAUUGUUGUAAUAGUAGUAAUUAGCGGUAUGAAAUCAAUAAUAGUGAAACAAGUCCUCACACUCUCAUACCAGCCUCUUUCCCCAGCCAAACUGGAGGAAGAUGCUCCACCAGAGAGUAAACCUAUAAGAGAGGAAAUAACCACUGUAUAUAUUUAUGACACAGAGGCAAGAGGUGACCACACCACCACUCUGUGAAAGCAUCGGAAGUUUGACUAUGGUCAUGGGGUGGGAGUGUGGCGGAGCACAACUACCCCCACCUCCACCCCCUUAUCUCGGGCCCCAGCUGACCACAAAUAACUGACAGCGCCCAGUGCUGACCAGGAGGAACUAGGCGAUACUGGUUGCAACUGGUGAGGCCAGAAACAGGCAUGAGAUCAGCAAAAAAGGUACAUCUCCACACCAAAUAUCGUAUGACCAUGAGUCAAACUCUAUGCCCAUAAAUAGCGCUGCAGUCUAGAGUCCAUAGAGCUCUCCUGCACGGCAGCGGGCUGCACGGUGGUGAAUCUCCCCUUGAGUUGGGACGCCUCUCAAGGUUACUCUCUGGGAGUUAAGAGAACCUCUGACAAGAAACCGCUGGAGAGGUAAGAAACUGAGACUCGGGCAAUAACAAAUGUGCAGUGAGAUUCGCUUGCUAUGACUACACUGUAUAGCCAUCUUCAAUAAAUCCGUUUGCAAUAAACCCAGAGUUAAUAAUACCCCCUCCCCCAGGGGCACCUAGCCUCCCCUGUGGCAUGCCUGGCCUCACCAGGGGCCCCUCCCUUCACCAGGGCCACCUGUUGAGAAGCACCAAGCCUUCCCCUGCCAGGGGUUCCUGGCAAGGGGUGCCUGGCCUCACCAGGGUCAUGGGGCCUCUCCAAGGGUGCCAGGCCUCCCCUUGCCAGGAGCAUGCCUGGCCUUGCCAGGGGCUCCAGGCCUCCCUUCUCCAGGGGCGCCUCCCCUUGCUGGGGUGCCAGGCCUUGCCAGGGUUGCAUGGCCAGGGGCCACUCCCUGCCAGGGGUGCUUUGCCUCGCCUGGCCUCACUGCCAGGGGCACCUGGCCAGGCAUACCUGACCUCACCUUGCCAGGGUUGCCUCACUGCUGGGGGGGGCCUCACCUCACCAGGGGCACCUCACCAGGGGUACCUUGACUCGACAGGGGUGCCUCACCUUGCUACCAGGGGUGCCUUGUUGCCAAGGGCACCUUGCUUUUCCUUGCUGCCAGGGGUGUCUCCUCUCUCUUCACCUCACCACCCCCACCAGGUGUGCCUUGCCUUGCCAGCAGGGAUGCCUCACCUCACCUCGCUGCCAGGGGCACCUCACUAUGGGCGCCUCACUAGGGAUGUGUUGACUCGCUUUACUGCAAGGGGCACUUUGUUGCAAGGGGCACAUCACCUUGCCUCGCCUCGCCUUGCCUCACCUUGUCAGGGGCACCUGGCUGAGGGGGCCAGGGGUGACUCAACUUGCCAUGCCACACCAGAGGUGCCUAACCUCAUCAGGGUCCCCUGGCCUCCCUGAACCAGGGGCACUGCGCCUCACCUUGCCACCUGGGGCGCCUCCCUGCCAGGAGUGCCUCCCCUCACCUCGCCACGGUGCCGGGGGGGGGGGGCAUGCCUCACCUCACCUUACCUCUUCUUGAGGAAGACUGGCACUUUCAACUUGAGACCCUAGAGGGAUAUUGGAAGGGUGAGCAUAACACCAGAGAAAAGGGGCAUAUACUAGGAAGGUUUUUCUGUAUAACUAUUUUAACUGUAUUAUUGAGGGUUUCCUGUAUUUAUCUGGUCUAUGAAUGGUAGCAUUAUUGUAACUGGACUAACAAUAACUCUUUUGUAUUUUGAUUAGACUGUUGAAUUAGAGUAAUGAAAAAAUCCUGGCUUCAUGUAUAUAUGGUUUGUACUCUGUUGCCCAUAAUAAGAUUUUUGAGUGUAA